CUCCCUGUUCCUUCUCACCCCUUCUCCCGCAGGCUCCAGCUGUGGUGGUGGGGGUGAGCAGCUGCCCUCCGGUGGCCUGGGGAGUGAGGAGGGCGCCAUUCUAAAGCACGAGAGCUCGGCGCAUGGCGACAGUAUAGAUCGGCUACAACAGCGGCAACGGCCCAACGGCGAAAGGGGAUGGCUGCAUGAUGAUCUUGUUCUGAUCAAUUCUGAAAUAGGAAUGGAGGACUACUAUGGUGGUCGCUGUUGAGGAUGCUGGAUUACUUGACAGUAGGUAUGCUAUUUCAGAAUUAUUGGUUGGACGUACAGUCUCAAGUCUCAACCUAGCAAGAACACUUUCAUGCAAAAAUAUUUAGUCCUUUUUGUCUUGGAACAAUAGAAAUUCUGCAAUUGUCGUGCUACAACACAUGCCUUACAAUUUCUUCACUGCAAUCUUAUGCUACAACAUAUGUCUUAUGUAUUUCACUUUGUAUCAGUUUACUUGCCAGAUUUUAAAUUGGAGCUUAGCAUGAACUGAAGAGAGGAUACUUCAACAUGUAUGUGCUGAAAGGCAAAUUAAUUUGGAAGUUUAUUGUAACUGGUACACAAUAUUGGCACUAAAAGCGCGAGCGCUGUGAGUGAAGCCAAGCAAGUUCCUGCUAGGCUGGUGAGCAGGACGACGACCAUAGUUCAGGGAGCGAUUGAUUUCAAGAGAGAUCAUUGGGGACGAGUUCAUAACCAUGUUACUGUCAAGUUUUAGCAAUAUGGUCCAGAGAGCGGUUUCAGAAGAGGUAGAGAAAGAGUUGUUCAGACAAUUCAGUGCAGAAGCAACACCUCCAAGGCCACCGGCGCCGAUGUGACCGAGGUGGAGGCGACCGGCAAGAGGGAGGCUAGCGCGACCAAUUUCCUCGAGCUGUUCAACUUAUUAGUCCUUGCAAUUCCAAAUUCACAUAGGUAUGUAGGCUGUAACGGCACCGCUGUAGCCAUCGCUGCCUUCUCCAAUCCUUGGUAGCAGAUUAAUGCAUAGUAGGUGAGUGCUUCAGGCUGUAGAUUUGGCUCGCUUCCUUAGUACCUCAUGUCUCAUGUGGUUAAAGCUAUGCGAGUAAUUAUGAAGGCUUGAUCAUCAGGAAACAUCCAUGUCAAUUAUGUGUUUGCCGAAUUUCCUUAAGCAUAUGGGAUUCAGUUGUUUGAUGAA